CAUUGGAUUACAUAAAUCGAUGGCUAAGAAUUGUUUAUUUCUCAUCUAGUUUUCUCUGUACGUUUUCUCCCCAUCUCACUUCAUACUCACAGAUUCAUCUUUCUACUUUUUCUGCACAUCGCGUGCAUCCAUGGCGUACAAACUGAGUUUGGCCUCUCUUACCACCACCGGUCACCUGCAAAUAAAGUUUGCGACUUUGCCGAGCCGGAGCGUCCAAGACCAGUGAAGCUCCAAACAGAAUGUGAAGAAUAGGAAGAAGAUGCGGCAGAGGUGUUGUGGAGAUGAAAGAGGAAGAAGACGAUGCGGCAAGGUGGACGAGCUUGCGGUGAUUGAUGCGGCGGAGACGAUGAUGCGUCAGAAACAGAGAGGUGGCGAAGAUGUGGUGUGAAGAUGGGAGAUGGAAGAAGAAGAACAGAGAGGUGGUGGUGGCGGCUCUAUUAGAUUUAGACAUUUUAGGUUUAGUUUUUUUUUUUUUAGCUUGGUUUAGUUUUUUUUUUGGUUUAGCUUGGUUUAGUUUGUAUACCGGUUAACUAAUUUUGAUAUAUAAAGUUUUUAAAAUA